UACGUAGGGUGCAAGCGUUAAUCGGAAUUACUGGGCGUAAAGCGUGCGCAGGCGGUUUUGUAAGUCAGAUGUGAAAUCCCCGGGCUUAACCUGGGAACUGCGUUUGAAACUACAAGGCUAGAGUGUGGCAGAGGGGGGGUAGAAUUCCACGUGUAGCAGUGAAAUGCGUAGAGAUGUGGAGGAACACCGAUGGCGAAGGCAGCCCCCCUGGGUCAAGAUUGACGCUCAUGCACGAAAGCGUGGGGAGCAAACAGG
rnacentral:rRNA from 1 species